rnacentral:rRNA from 1 species
GAUGAACGCUGGCGGCGUGCCUAAUACAUGCCAGUCGAGCGAACAGAUGAGGAGCUUGCUCCUCUGACGUUAGCGGCGGACGGGUGAGUAACACGUGGAUAACCUACCUAUAAGACUGGGAUAACUUCGGGAAACCGGAGCUAAUACCGGAUAAUAUAUUGAACCGCAUGGUUCAAUAGUGAAAGACGGUUUUGCUGUCACUUAUAGAUGGAUCCGCGCCGCAUUAGCUAGUUGGUAAGGUAACGGCUUACCAAGGCAACGAUGCGUAGCCGACCUGAGAGGGUGAUCGGCCACACUGGAACUGAGACACGGUCCAGACUCCUACGGGAGGCAGCAGUAGGGAAUCUUCCGCAAUGGGCGAAAGCCUGACGGAGCAACGCCGCGUGAGUGAUGAAGGUCUUCGGAUCGUAAAACUCUGUUAUUAGGGAAGAACAAAUGUGUAAGUAACUAUGCAUGUCUUGACGGUACCUAAUCAGAAAGCCACGGCUAACUACGUG